GAGAGGAAGAGAGACAAAGAGAGAGAUAAGAGGUCAGCCACAGGAGAGGAAGAGAGACAAAGAGAGAGAUAAGAGGUCAGCCACAGGAGAGGAAGAGAGACAAAGAGAGAGAUAAGAGGUCAGCCACAGGAGAGGAAGAGAGACAAAGAGAGAGAUAAGAGGUCAGCCACAGGAGAGGAAGAGAGACAAAGAGAGAGAUAAGAGGUCAGCCACAGGAGAGGAAGAGAGACAAAGAGAGAGAUAAGAGGUCAGCCACAGGAGAGGAAGAGAGACAAAGAGAGAGAUAAUAGGUCAGCCACAGGAGAGGAAGAGAGACAAAGAGAGAGAUAAGAGGUCAGUCACAGGAGAGGAAGAGAGACAAAGAGAGAGAUAAGAGGUCAGCCACAGGAGAGGAAGAGAGACAAAGAGAGAGAUAAGAGGUCAGCCACAGGAGAGGAAGAGAGACAAAGAGAGAGAUAAGAGGUCAGCCACAGGAGAGGAAGAGAGACAAAGAGAGAGAUAAUAGGUCAGCCACAGGAGAGGAAGAGAGACAAAGAGAGAGAUAAGAGGUCAGUCACAGGAGAGGAAGAGAGACAAAGAGAGAGAUAAGAGGUCAGCCACAGGAGAGGAAGAGAGACAAAGAGAGAGAUAAGAGGUCAGCCACAGGAGAGGAAGAGAGACAAAGAGAGAGAUAAGGGGAUAGAAAGAGAACAUUCUGACAAACGAGCACAGAGACAGACAGACAGACAGACAGACAGACAGACAGACAGACAGACAGACAGACAGACAGACAGACAGACAGAGACAGACAGACAGACAGACAGACCAAGGAGGAGCACUGGAUGGUUCUACACUCAGAGACUGACUGACCUAUUGAUCGCUACUAACACCAGUGUGUGUGUGUGAUGUGUGUGCGUGUAUAUGUGUGUGUGUGUG